rnacentral:rRNA from 1 species
GAUGAACGCUGGCGGCGUGCCUAAUACAUGCAAGUCGAGCGAACAGACGAGGAGCUUGCUCCUCUGACGUUAGCGGCGGACGGGUGAGUAACACGUGGUUAACCUACCUAUAAGACUGGGAUAACUUCGGGAAACCGGAGCUAAUACCGGAUAAUAUAUUUAACCGCAUGGUUCAAUAGUGAAAGACGGUUUUGCUGUCACUUAUAGAUGGAUCCGCGCCGCAUUAGCUAGUUGGUAAGGUAACGGCUUACCAAGGCAACGAUGCGUAGCCGACCUGAGAGGGUGAUCGGCCACACUGGAACUGAGACACGGUCCAGACGCCUACGGGAGGCAGCAGUAGGGAAUCUUCCGCAAAGGGCGAAAGCUUGACGGAGCAACGCCGCGUGAGUGAUGAAGGUCUUCGGAUCGUAAAACUCUGUUAUUAGGGAAGAACAAAUGUGUAAGUAACUAUGCACGUCUUGACGGUACCUAAUCAGAAAGCCACGGCUAACUACGUG